ACCUUCGGGUUAGUGGCGGACGGGUGAGUAACGCGUGAGAAUCUGCCCUCAGGAGGGGGAUAACGGCUGGAAACGGCCGCUAAUACCCCAUAUGCCGAGAGGUGAAAUGAAUUUCGCCUGAGGAUGAGCUCGCGUCUGAUUAGCUAGUUGGUGGGGUAAGAGCCUACCAAGGCUUCGAUCAGUAGCUGGUCUGAGAGGAUGAUCAGCCACACUGGGACUGAGACACGGCCCAGACUCCUACGGGAGGCAGCAGUGGGGAAUUUUCCGCAAUGGGCGAAAGCCUGACGGAGCAACGCCGCGUGAGGGAUGAAGGCCUCUGGGCUGUAAACCUCUUUUCUCAAGGAAGAAGAUCUGACGGUACUUGAGGAAUAAGCCACGGCUAAUUCCGUGCCAGCAGCCGCGGUAAUACGGGAGUGGCAAGCGUUAUCCGGAAUUAUUGGGCGUAAAGCGUCCGCAGGCGGCCUCGUAAGUCUGUCGUUAAAGCGUGGAGCUUAACUCCAUUUCAGCGAUGGAAACUGCGAGGCUAGAGUGUGGUAGGGGCAGAGGGAAUUCCCGGUGUAGCGGUGAAAUGCGUAGAUAUCGGGAAGAACACCAGUGGCGAAGGCGCUCUGCUGGGCCAUAACUGACGCUCAUGGACGAAAGCCAGGGGAGCGAAAGGGAUUAGAUACCCCUGUAGUCCUGGCCGUAAACGAUGAACACUAGGUGUCGGGGGAAUCGACCCCCUCGGUGUCGUAGCCAACGCGUUAAGU
rnacentral:rRNA from 1 species